CGCGUAGGCGGGAUGGCAAGUCGGUCGUGAAAUCCUUCGGCUCAACCGAAGAACGUCGGCCGAUACUGCCGUUCUUGAGGGAUGCAGAGGAGACUGGAAUUCCCGGUGUAGCGGUGAAAUGUGUAGAGAUCGGGAGGAACACCGGUGGCGAAGGCGGGUCUCUGGGCAUCUCCUGACGCUGAGGCGCGAAAGCGUGGGGAGCAAACGGGAUUAAAUACCCCGGUAGUCCACGCCAUAAACGAUGACGACUAGGUGUGGGGUGGUUCAGUCCACUCCGUGCCGCAGCUAACGCAUUAAGUCGUCCGCCUGGGGAGUACGGCCGCAAGGUUGAA
rnacentral:rRNA from 1 species